rnacentral:sRNA from 1 species
UGUAUUCGUCUUGUUUUGGUUGCUCAAAUU